rnacentral:sRNA from 1 species
CAGACGGAUGUUUCCUGUUGGCGUGAACACCAGGGGAGGAGUCAUCCCUAGGUGGAUAUCCCCCCUGCCAGGCCCCAGGAGGCACCUGGAGCUUCCUGGGUGCCCUGUGGGGCCUGGGGGGGUGGGGACAGGGUGUGUGGUGUGUCGUGCUGGUGGGCCUCGUUGGUGGGCACACAUUGUUCACUCAGCUGUCUCUUGUCUUCUCUAUUUCUUUGGCUUCUCUCCCCGCCCCCCUUGCCCUGCUUUUGCCCGGGGUUUGGCCGCGGGCAGUGCCAACAUACGGCCCUUACGCCUCCUCACCUGCCCCUCCCGCUCCCUGCCCGGCAGGCCGCUGUGCCCCCAUGAAGAGCAUCUCCAGCAGCCUCAAGGAGACCAUGAACCCGCACGACAUCGUGCAGGACGCCAUCCACAACUUCUCACCUGCCUACCAGCAGUACACGCAGCAGUCCACCCUGGAGCCUGGGCCCACCUGGCGUGGUGGCGCCCACGGCCUCUCCCGCUCCCACAGCCUCAGUGGCGCCCGCGACAACGAGAAGACUCUCCUGCUCAGCUCUGAUGAUGAAUUCUAGGUGCGGGCUGCAGUGGCGGAAGUGCUGGCGCCAUAGCCACGGUCAGGCUGUGCCCCACCUCCAGCCUCACCACCAGGCCAGGAGGCAGCUGGCACAGUGCUCACGCCGCCUUUAUUUAUUGGACCAGAAACACUCACAUGUCGCUUCCAGAGGAACGGGGGACAGCCAGGCUCGCCCAUGGGCCUUCAGGAAUAUUUAUACAUGGCCCAGCCUGCACUGCCCGGGCGAGGGCAGAGGACACUGGGAGCAAGGCUUAUGCCCCUGCUGCCCGUCCUGUGCUGGGGGCAUGCUGGGACCAGCCGCACCCAGGCCCCAAUGCUUGUGUGUGGACCAGCGGCUGCAGCCUUCUAGCCCCUCCUCCCCGCGAGACUCUCAGGCUGAGGUCGGCAAGCCGUGGCUCCCCCACACACCGUGCAAUACCCUGUCUGACCUGGGCUCUUCCCGCCUGCAUCCCUCCCCUGUCCACCUUUGUCCAGUGCUAGAUUCACCUCACC